GGCACAGAGAGCAACCAAGAGUGAAGGUGGAACCCUGACUUGGAGAUCAGCUGUGGGAUUGGAAAGGAAGGAGUGGAUCUGAGAGCUGCCAUAAAAAGUCGGAAAGUGGCUUGAUUAGAACAGAAAUGGACUAGAGUAAGAGAGGAGUCGAGGGUAACCCCUAAGUAGUGGUUUUCAGAUUUCCUUACAGGUAAGAAUGCACAAAGGAGCUUGUUUAAAAUGUGGAUUCUAUGUCCCCUCUUCCAAAACCAGGAUUCUGAUUCUGAGUCCUAGAAUGGAAUCUGGAAUCUGUAUCUUUAAGACACACAAGAAGAUUUUGGAGGAAAUUGGUCCUAUUCUCAAGAACUUGAAGGAUAUUACCCCAAGUCUUCAAAUCUGGGAGACUGAGAGGGCCCUCCAUCUGGAGAAGUGGAAAGGUUACAAUACAGAGGCCAGUUAAGAAAACCCUCAACCUGCUGCCGUGCCCCCCACCAAACUCCAACUACCUCUUGUCCGAGGGGUAGAGUUCGACAGUCAACACGUCCAGCGCGUUCCAGGAUGCAAUGCUGACCCCUCCAAAAAGGCAG